GACGAACGCUGGCGGCGUGCUUAACACAUGCAAGUCGAACGGAAAGGCCCUGCUUUUGUGGGGUGCUCGAGUGGCGAACGGGUGAGUAACACGUGAGUAACUUGCCCUUGACUUUGGGAUAACUUCAGGAAACUGGGGCUAAUAUCGUAUAGGAGCUCCUGCUCCGUGGUGGGGGUUGGAAAGUUUCGGCGGUUGGGGAUGGACUCGCGGCUUAUCAGCUUGCUGGUGGGGUAGUGGCUGACCAAGCGUGUGACGGGUCGCCGGCCUGAGAGGGUGAACGGCCACAAUGGGACUGAGAUACGGACCAGUGUCGUACGUGAGGCAGCGGUGGGGAAUAUGGCACAGUGGGCGGGAGUGUGAUGCAGAGACGCCGCGUGCGUGAUGACGGCCUUCGGGUUGUAAACCGCUUUCGCCUGUGACGAAGCGUGAGUGACGGUACUGGGUAAAGAAGCACCGGCUAACUACGUG
rnacentral:rRNA from 1 species